rnacentral:lncRNA from 7 species
GCCUCAGCGCGGCUGGAGGGCGUCAUCUCGCAGCGGGAGCUUUCUUUAAGUACAGAGAAGAAAGCGGGGCCACAAAGAGGGGAAGUGGCUUGCUCAAGGUGAUACAGCAGUUCUUCAGCAGAGGCUGGGAGCGGCAAAAGAUGAGAGACCUUCAUCGUGGAGCCGAGUAUUCGCUAGUAGGGAAGAGCUGAAAGUACUUCGGAAGAAAGGAAGUAUAGAAAAUUAGAGAAGUUGGACUACUCAACUCAUUUAUUUCUGCCUGGGAAGGUUCUUUGCUUCCUUUUGUUUCACAGGUUUAUGUCUGUAGCAAAGCUUCUUCAUAGGCUUAGCAUUUCUGCUCUGUUGUCUUUGCAAGGUAUGGUACUACUUUUGUCCAUUUUUGUGAGUUUGCUUGGCACUGAUCUCACAGAAUAUGUUGUCUUCCAUUAUUAAAUACUAUAC